UACGUAGGGCGCAAGCGUUUGUCCGGAAUUAUUGGGCGUAAAGAGCUCGUAGGCGGCUUGUCACGUCGGGUGUGAAAGCCCGGGGCUUAACCCCGGGUCUGCAUUCGAUACGGGCUAGCUAGAGUGUGGUAGGGGAGAUCGGAAUUCCUGGUGUAGCGGUGAAAUGCGCAGAUAUCAGGAGGAACACCGGUGGCGAAGGCGGAUCUCUGGGCCAUUACUGACGCUGAGGAGCGAAAGCGUGGGGAGCAAACAGG
rnacentral:rRNA from 1 species